rnacentral:rRNA from 1 species
GACGGGGGGAGCAAGCGUUGUUCGGAUUUACUGGGCGUAAAGGGCGUCUAGGCGGGCUUUCAAGUCGAGUGUGAAACCCCACGGCUCAACCGUGGAUCUGCACUUGAUACUGUUGGUCUUGAGUACGGAAGAGGAAAGCGGAAUUCCUGGUGUAGCGGUGAAAUGCGUAGAUAUCAGGAAGAACACCGGUGGCGAAGGCGGCUUUCUGGUCCGAUACUGACGCUGAAGCGCGAAAGUGUGGGGAGCAAACAGG